AGACACCCUUCUGGGGCAAGACUUGCUUCAGUGUGGCUUUGGUGCUCACUGAGUUCUGCCCCCUGAGUGUGUCCCU
rnacentral:pre_miRNA from 1 species